rnacentral:lncRNA from 1 species
AGGAAUACAAUGCGACAAUAGAUUUUUAUUGGGCUCCCUUGAUGGUGGAAUCCAACUCGGACGAUCCAACAAACCACAGGUUACCUGAACGGAUAGUUCGGAUCCAAUCGAUAGAGAAACAUGCGAGGCAUUGGACUGAAUCUGAUAUCAUUGUCUUAAACUCUUAUUUGUGGUGGUUAAGGCCUCAUAUGAAGACACUGUAAGUUUCUUAAUUUACUUAUAGUUAAGAUCAAAAAAAAAAAAUCAAUAAGAUCCCUCUAUAUAUAUUAUCUCAAUAGAUGGGUAAUAUGUGAAAAAGGUGGGGGUCGUUUGAGAAGUUAAAUGGAAUAUACAAAGAAGUGGAGAUGGUUAGAGUCUAUGAGAUGGCUUUGCAAACAAUGUCUCAGUGGUUGGAAGUUCACAUUUUUAAUGUACGUAUGAAAAAUGUCUUAAUGUACGUAAAAAGAUUUAAUGGGACGAAGUUGCUGGAGCGGCUGAGAAAUAAGAGGAUGGUGUACGUAGGAGACUCCUUGAACAGAGGCCAAUGGGUAUCAAUGGUAUGUAUGGCUAGUUCUGUGAUUACAAAUCCAAGGAUGAUGUAUUUUCACAGCAACAGCUCUAAUCUCAUCACUUUCAAAUCGCUCGUAAGUCAUCCAAAACAUUUAAACUCAUCUAGUGCAUUUGUAUCAUCUUUUCAUUAGAUAUAUACAUUUACACUCGAUCGUCAAAUAAUCUGUAAGUUCAUUGUGGAUGAAUAAUCAGGAAUACAAUGCGACAAUAGAUUUUUAUUGGGCUCCCUUGAUGGUGGAAUCCAACUCGGACGAUCCAACAAACCACAGGUUACCUGAACGGAUAGUUCGGAUCCAAUCGAUAGAGAAACAUGCGAGGCAUUGGACUGAAUCUGAUAUCAUUGUCUUAAACUCUUAUUUGUGGUGGUUAAGGCCUCAUAUGAAGACACU